CCGCUACAAGGACACACCCAAAAGAAUGCUCUGAAGACGUUCUGUGCCGCGGCCUGCACCGCCACACUAACUUUGAAAACUUCGGGGUGGCCCCGCUGACGCUGUACAAAGUUAGCACUGGAGACAACUGGAGUGGCAUCCUUAAAGACACCAUGAGGGAGUGCCGGGUCGGCGACAGUAACUGUCCCAGCUACCUGUUCUGAGCCUCUCCCGUCUUCUUCACCACGUUUGUUGUCACGGUUUGUGCUUGUAAACUUGGUGGUGGCAGCAAUCAUGCAGGCGCUGGAGGACAGCACCGAGGGUUUGGCGGGCAGGUGCUUCCCAUCACUCAGAGCCUUUCUUAAGGAGCGGAAACCAGGAGGAGGGCGUCAGUUCUUUCUCAUUUCCAGCGUGAACAAUUGACUCAAGCCUGAGAACCUCCAAGCCUGGACCUCCUAGGAAUUGAAGAAACCCUUUUAGUCGCCAGUUUGCUUUAGUCCUCCUACCUGAGCUCGCCUGCCUGUCCACCCACCAACACCAUCUGCACUAGAAAGAGAACUACCGGCUUUACACCAACCUCCUGGACCCCGGACACCACCCUCCCUGGGUCAAGCCAAGCCUCAACCUCCAAUCACGAUCCAGCCCACCAGCACCGCCUCUGCUAACACUGCA